CAGGUGGAGUACAGGAGUCGAUGGGAGAGCGAUCUGUGGUUGAUUUAGCGAGUCUAGUGAAGACCCACUAAAUCGACCGCUGAUGCAUCGAGCACCGCAUGCCAAUCACCCGGCAUAUUAGCUGUCUCUUUGAAUCAGCCUGGCAUGGAAUAAACACAUACACCGGACGGCGUGCAUUGGAGAGCUUCAGAUUGAGUCCCGUAUCUGUACAGAAAACCACACAGUGCCAAAAUACACAACCCAGAGUGGAUGUCUUUGAAUUUUAUCGGCUUGACUGUUCUCAGGAUGUUUCAAGUGUUGUAGCUGGGUUGGCCCCAGGAUAUCAGAGAUAAAAG